CAGAAGAUCAAGAAGAGGAACAAUAAUUAUUAAUAAAUUGUAAACAUCAAAAAAUUCCAAAACUAUUGAGGUGUUGAAAUCCAGUAAAUUUUCUUGUAAAGCUUGGAGCAUUGCAAAUGUUUGGUGUUAAUGUAUGAGAGUACUUCACAUGUAAACAAUAUUGAUGAAGUUGUCUGCUUAUUUGGGGCCAAACAAGAAGGAGAGAAAUUUUCUUGGAAAAGAAUCGAAAGCAAUAAAGAUAAGAUAUCAUGACAGAAGAAUGCAGAAGGGUUGCUCAGCUAUUAACUUCGCCUUAUAAUCUUUAUUUAUUUCAAUUGUGUUGUAAGAAGUAUUUUUUAAACAGUAAAACUUUCUCCAAUUUAUAGACUA